AACGGGGAGGAGCCCAGAGCCUGAAUCAGCAUGUGUGUUAGUGGAAGCGUCUGGAAAGGCGCGCGAUACAGGGUGACAGCCCCGUACACAAAAGCGCAUAUGCUGUGAGCUCGAUGAGUAGGGCGGGACACGUGGUAUCCUGUCUGAAUAUGGGGGGACCAUCCUCCAAGGCUAAAUACUCCUGACUGACCGAUAGUGAACCAGUACCGUGAGGGAAAGGCGAAAAGAACCCCGGCGAGGGGAGUGAAACAGAACCUGAAACCGUGUACGUACAAGCAGUGGGAGCACAGGUUUACCUGUGUGACUGCGUACCUUUUGUAUAAUGGGUCAGCGACUUAUAUUCUGUAGCAAGGUUAACCGCAUAGGGGAGCCGAAGGGAAACCGAGUCUUAACCGGGCGUUAAGUUGCAGGGUAUAGACCCGAAACCCGGUGAUCUAGCCAUGGGCAGGUUGAAGGUUGGGUAACACUAACUGGAGGACCGAACCGACUAAUGUUGAAAAAUUAGCGGAUGACCUGUGGCUGGGGGUGAAAGGCCAAUCAAACCGGGAGAUAGCUGGUUCUCCCCGAAAGCUAUUUAGGUAGCGCCUCGUGAAUUCAUCUCCGGGGGUAGAGCACUGUUUCGGCUAGGGGGCCAUCCCGGCUUACCAACCCGAUGCAAACUGCGAAUACCGGAGAAUGUUAUCACGGGAGACACACGGCGGGUGCUAACGUCCGUCGUGAAGAGGGAAACAACCCAGACCGCCAGCUAAGGUCCCAAAGUCAUGGUUAAGUGGGAAACGAUGUGGGAAGGCCCAGACAGCCAGGAUGUUGGCUUAGAAGCAGCCAUCAUUUAAAGAAAGCGUAAUAGCUCACUGGUCGAGUCGGCCUGCGCGGAAGAUGUAACGGGGCUAAACCAUGCACCGAAGCUGCGGCAGCGAACGUAUCACUUAAAACGAUUCAGAAGCUUACGAUUGACGGAGCGAAGCGACGUCAAAGCGUAUACAAAGUCGAGUCGGUUUAAGGAUACGUUCGUUGGGUAGGGGAGCGUUCUGUAAGCCUGUGAAGGUGGCCUGUGAGGGUUGCUGGAGGUAUCAGAAGUGCGAAUGCUGACAUAAGUAACGAUAAAGCGGGUGAAAAGCCCGCUCGCCGGAAGACCAAGGGUUCCUGUCCAACGUUAAUCGGGGCAGGGUGAGUCGACCCCUAAGGCGAGGCCGAAAGGCGUAGUCGAUGGGAAACGGGUUAAUAUUCCCGUACUUGGUGUUACUGCGAAGGGGGGACGGAGAAGGCUAUGUUGGCCGGGCGACGGUUGUCCCGGUUUAAGCAUGUAGGCGGAUGUUCCAGGUAAAUCCGGAACGUUACUAACGCUGAGGUGUGAUGACGAGGCACUACGGUGCUGAAGCAACAAAUGCCCUGCUUCCAGGAAAAGCCUCUAAGCAUCAGGUAACAUCAAAUCGUACCCCAAACCGACACAGGUGGUCAGGUAGAGAAUACCAAGGCGCUUGAGAGAACUCGGGUGAAGGAACUAGGCAAAAUGGUGCCGUAACUUCGGGAGAAGGCACGCUGACA
rnacentral:rRNA from 1 species